rnacentral:lncRNA from 1 species
GCUUUGAACUCCGGAUUCCCCUGCUUCAUCCUCCCAAGCUUCUAGGAUUACAGGCAUGCGUCACCAAGCCCAGGUCUUUUCCUUAUCUUGAAUUACAAGUCUCUAGCUUUAUUUAGUAGAAUAGUGGAAAGGAUCUACCUAUAAGUUGGUCUCCUUUUGUAUAUAUGUGGUACCUGCUGGUCAUAAUUUUCACUGUAUUUCAAAUAAGACAGAAGUGUAAUGAGAGAUUGCCUAGUCAUCGUGGCUCCCCUGGGAGGGAAGAGGGGCCUUUGCUCUACUGACAGGAGUCCCGGGGAUGGAGCAUGUGACUGCUGUCUACAAUAGGAGACCCUUUUAGAGAAGUCUAUUGUGUCUGCAUAUUGUUAAUAAUUUGUGUGUAUGGUAUUAAUAGAAGAAUAUUAAAGUUUUAUAGGUUUCUCAAAUGAGAAGUUCAUUAAUCAGAAUAUUGUGAAAUAAUCUUAUUCAGAACUGCUUCAUUAAUUUACCAUCAUUAACAAUAAUUUUCUGAAAUACUUAAGCUUAUUGUCUAAAGGCCCUAUUUAGCUAGGUGUGGUGGGCACAUCUGUGAUCCCAGCUGUUCGGGAUGCUGAGGCAGGAGGAUUGCAAGUUCAAGGCUAUCCUGGCGAUUUAGGGAGACCCUAUCUCAAAAUGAAAAAUAAAAAGGGCUGGCAGUGUUUCUCAGUGGUAAAGCACCCCUGGGUUCAUUCCCCAGUACCAAACAAAACAAUAAAGACCCCAUUUAAAAAAAAUAGAUGUAAAUCCCUUUCAUCCUUGAUGGUAUGUGAAAUAUAGAUUUCAAAUUACCAUUUUUCCCCCUAAUCUGAAACACCAGAUGAUUAAAUUGAUUAGAAUAAAGUCAAAUGGUCUGGCUGUUGUGGUUAUAUGCUUGAAAGUUCCCUGGUUUUAGUGGGAACAUUGGAGUUUCUAUUGGCUGUCAGAAAAAGCAAAAUUCAAAUGAUGAAUGACAGAGUUGAAAAAGUCUUAAGUUGCUCUUUAAUUAUUUUCUUCACCCUAAUUCUUAGGGCAUUAAUAACUCUUUCAUCUCUUUCUCUUCACCCUCAUACUUAUAUGGAAACACACUCAUACAGGUGGUUAAAUAAAUGUGAUUAAUCUAUGCAUACUUUAUGAUUUUACUAUUUUUAUCACAGUGAUUGGAGGUUAAUGUACAUACAUAUGUAUAAUUACAUGCUGUUUCAUAGUAUGUAUUUCUCCAUUGAUAGGCAUUUUUGCUUAUGGUUUAUUGGUAGGUACCCAAAAAGUAGCCAUGUGUUAUAAAGUGGGGGUGAUAAUUAUAUCAAUAUAACUUUGAUCUGUCCACUGAAAUACAUUAUUACUAAACCAUCUAUUA